GAUGAAGAACGUAGCGAAAUGCGAUAAGUAAUGUGAAUUGCAGAAUUCAGUGAAUCAUCGAAUCUUUGAACGCACCUUGCGCUCUUUGGUAUUCCGAAGAGCAUGCCUGUUUGAGUGUCAUGAAAAUAUCAACCUUGACUUGGGUUUUGUGCUCUAGUCUCGGCUUGGAAUUGGGUGCUUGCCGCUUUUACGAGCGGCUCACCUUAAAUGUAUUAGCUGGAUCUGUCUUUGAGACUUGGUUUGACUUGGCGUAAUAAGUAUUUCGCUAAGGACAUUCUUAGGAGUGGCCUCGUUUCUAGGACGCUUGUCCGCUUUCCAAUACAAGUUCCACCUCGUGGACAUGACUUUUUAUUAUCUGGCCUCAAAUCAGGUAGGACUACCCGCUGAACUUAAGCAUAUCAAUAAGCGGAGGA
rnacentral:misc_RNA from 1 species